rnacentral:rRNA from 1 species
AGAGUUUGAUCAUGGCUCAGAGCGAACGCUGGCGGCAGGCCUAACACAUGCAAGUCGAGCGGCCGUAGCAAUACGGCAGCGGCAGACGGGAGAGUAACACGUGGGAACGCGCCCUUCGGUUCGGAAUAACUCAGGGAAACUUGGGCUAAUACCGGAUACGCCCUUACGGGGAAAGAUUUAUUGCCGAAGGAACGGCCCGCGUCCGAUUAGCUUGUUGGUGAGGUAACGGCUCACCAAGGCGACGAUCGGUAGCUGGUCUGAGAGGAUGACCAGCCUCACUGGGACUGAGACACGGCCCAGACUCCUACGGGAGGCAGCAGUGGGGAAUAUUGGACAAUGGGCGCAAGCCUGAUCCAGCCAUGCCGCGUGGGUGAUGAAGGCCCUAGGGUUGUAAAGCCCUUUCAGCGGGGAAGAUAAUGACGGUACCCGCAGAAGAAGCCCCGGCUAACUUCGUGCCAGCAGCCGCGGUAAUACGAAGGGGGCUAGCGUUGCUCGGAAUUACUGGGCGUAAAGCGCACGUAGGCGGAUUGUUAAAUCGGGGGUGAAAUCCUGGAGCUCAACUCCAGAACUGCCUUCGAUACUGGCGAUCUCGAGUUCGGGAGAGGUGAGUGGAACUGCGAGUGUAGAGGUGAAAUUCGUAGAUAUUCGCAAGAACACCAGUGGCGAAGGCGGCUCACUGGCCCGAUACUGACGCUGAGGUCGAAAGCGUGGGGAGCAAACAGGAUUAGAUACCCUAGUAGUCC